rnacentral:rRNA from 1 species
GAGUUUUGAUCCUGGCUCAGGAUGAACGCUAGCUACAGGCUUAACACAUGCAAGUCGAGGGGCAUCAGUUUUGGUUUGCUUGCAAACCAAAGCUGGCGACCGGCGCACGGGUGAGUAACACGUAUCCAACCUGCCUCAUACUCGGGGAUAGCCUUUCGAAAGAAAGAUUAAUAUCCGAUAGCAUAUAUUUCCCGCAUGGGUUUUAUAUUAAAGAAAUUCGGUAUGAGAUGGGGAUGCGUUCCAUUAGUUUGUUGGCGGGGUAACGGCCCACCAAGACUACGAUGGGUAGGGGUUCUGAGAGGAAGGUCCCCCACAUUGGAACUGAGACACGGUCCAAACUCCUACGGGAGGCAGCA